ensembl:lncRNA
CCCACAGUUUGGAUGACGAGGAGACACAAGCCUGAGACCAACACUUGCCCCAGGAAAGUCACAAAGCCACUCAGAAUCACAAAGGGACUCUUCUGUUUUUAAUACUUCCUAGGAUGAGGGUUGAUGACACUUGUUUAGAUUGGCACUGAAGAGGAAUCAUUCUGUUGUGAACCCAAGUUGCUUAGAAAGGAGUUGAUGAUACUGCCAACAAUUUGAUUAGAACAGGCACAUGCUGCGGGGGAUAAAGUAAGUGGAAGAAGUUACUUCUCACACUUUUCUACUGAGAUGCAGGCCACACAAUUAAAACCCUAAGCAUGACAUGGCUUUACAGGAGACUCGGUUAAAUACUAAGCUGAAUAAGGAUUUCAAGAGCUGCAACUGAGAUUCUCAAGGUAGAGAUUCAAAGAGACCGAAUCUGGGAAAUGGGGGCUAAGACUUCUUAUAAACUUGUCAUGAAGAGAAAUGAAAUGCUUUCUGGUCCUGGUGUGUGCUACUGAACAGACAUAUAGGGGAAGAGUGAGCUAUGAGUUCAAUGGAUUAGACUGGAGAAACUAUCUAUGUCUUAUCAUCAGUUACGGAAACUGGUGAUAUAGUGAGAAAAACCUGGAACUCUCACUUGAGGAUUGGAGGCUCGUCAUUUAUGAUCUGACAUAUAUUAAUUAUUUUGAUCUCUAAAAGGAGGGCAAUGGCAUCUACUUUAAGAGGUAUUGAGGGGCAGAAAAGAAAAGAGCUAUUGAAAAAUGAUGGGAGUACCACAUGAAGAUUCUGGCACAGACUCAGUACACGUGUGUUUGUUUAAUUGAUUUUACUGCGAAGACUCAGACAACUGGGCAGAAGUGGGAUUCCAGGAAGGAGAUGGCCAGGUCAAAAUGCCAAUGACUGGAGCUGCUGAAGAUAAAGAGGAAGAACAUGUUUUGACAUAUUUCACCCUCAGCACAGG